AUUGAACGCUGGCGGUAGGCCUAACACAUGCAAGUCGAACGCGAAAGUCCUUCGGGAUGAGUAGAGUGGCGGACGGGUGAGUAACGCGUAGGAAUCUAUCCUGUAGUGGGGAGUAACGUUUCGAAAGGAACGCUAAUACCGCAUACGCCCCACCGGGGGAAAGGCGGGGGAGUCUUCGGACCUCGUGCUAUAGGAGGAGCCUGCGUCGGAUUAGCUAGUUGGUGAGGUAAAGGCUCACCAAGGCGACGAUCCGUAGCUGGUCUGAGAGGAUGAUCAGCCACACCGGAACUGAGACACGGUCCGGACUCCUACGGGAGGCAGCAGUGGGGAAUAUUGCGCAAUGGGCGAAAGCCUGACGCAGCCAUACCGCGUGUGUGAAGAAGGCCUCGGUUGUAAGACACUUCUAGUAGGGGAGGGAAAAGGACGGGUAGGGCGUAA
rnacentral:rRNA from 1 species